AUGCAAGUCGAACGAGAAAGUUUCCUUCGGGAAACGAGUAAAGUGGCGAACGGGUGAGUAAUGCAUGGAUGACCUACCCACAUGACGGGGAUAACUAUUCGAAAGGAUAGCUAAUACCGGAUGUGAUCUCGGUUUUGCGGAACCGAGAAGAAAGAUGGCCUCUGUUUCAAGCUGUCGCAUGUGGAGGGGUUCAUGUGCUAUUAGUUUGUUGGUGGGGUAACGGCCUACCAAGGCGAUGAUGGCUAGCCGGCCUGAGAGGGUGUCCGGCCACACUGGGACUGAGACACUGCCCAGACUCCUACGGGAGGCUGCAGUCGAGAAUCUUCCACCAAUGCGCGAAAGCGUGAUGGAGCGACGUCGCGUGGGGGACGAAGGCCUUCGGGUUGUAAACUCCUGUCACGUGGACCUAAAACCGCAGGGUUAAUACCUCUUGCGCUUGAAGUUCCAUGAGAGGAAGCACCGGCUAAAUUCGUGC
rnacentral:rRNA from 1 species